AGAGUUUGAUCCUGGCUCAGGACGAACGCUGGCGGCGUGCUUAACACAUGCAAGUCGAACGGUGAACCGGCUUCGGCCGGGGAUCAGUGGCGAACGGGUGAGUAACACGUGGGCAACCUGCCCCAGACUCUGGGAUAACCCCGGGAAACCGGGGCUAAUACCGGAUACGACUACCGCGGGCAUCCGUGGUGGUGGAAAGAUUUCUUGGUCUGGGAUGGGUCCGCGGCCUAUCAGCUUGUUGGUGGGGUAGUGGCCUACCAAGGCGACGACGGGUAGCCGGCCUGAGAGGGCGACCGGCCACACUGGGACUGCGACACGGCCCAGACUCCUACGGGAGGCAGCAGUGGGGAAUACUGCACAAUGGGCGGAAGCCUGAUGCAGCGACGCCGCGUGAGGGAUGACGGCCUUCGGGUUGUAAACCUCUUUCAGCAGGGACGAAGCGCAAGUGACGGUACCUGCAGAAGAAGCGCCGGCCAACUACGUGCCAGCAGCCGCGGUAAGGCGUAGGGCGCGAGCGUUGUCCGGAUUUAUUGGGCGUAAAGAGCUCGUAGGCGGCUUGUCGCGUCGAAUGUGAAAUCUCAGGCUCAACUCUGACAUUGCAUUCGAUACGGGCAGGCUAGAGUUCGGUAGGGGAGACUGGAAUUCCUGGUGUAGCGGUGAAAUGGUAGA
rnacentral:rRNA from 1 species